AUUGAACGCUGGCGGCAGGCCUAACACAUGCAAGUCGAGCGGAUGAAGGGAGCUUGCUCCUGGAUUCAGCGGCGGACGGGGGAGUAAUGCCUAGGAAUCUGCCUGGUAGUGGGGGAUAACGUCCGGAAACGGGCGCUAAUACCGCAUACGUCCUGAGGGAGAAAGUGGGGGAUCUUCGGACAUCACGCUAUCAGAUGAGCCUAGGUCGGAUUAGCUAGUUGGUGGGGUAAAGGCCUACCAAGGCGACGAUCCGUAACUGGUCUGAGAGGAUGAUCAGUCACACUGGAACUGGGACACGGUCCAGACUACUACGGGAGGCAGCAGUGGGGAAUAUUGGACAAUGGGCGAAAGCCUGAUCCAGUCAUGGCGAGUGUGUGAAGAAGGUCUUCGGAUUGUAAAGCACGUUAAGUUGGGAGGAAGGGCAGUAAGUUAAUACCUUGCUGUUUUGACGUUACCAACAGAAUAAGCACCGGCUAACUUCGUG
rnacentral:rRNA from 1 species